rnacentral:lncRNA from 1 species
UUCACAGGACUACUGAGAGGCUGGAGGAGACCAGCACCAAGCUGCUCCUGGAGGAGCAGCAGAACAGGUCUCUGCUGAGCUCUCUCAGUACGAGGCCUGUUGUAGAGUGUCCCUGUGUUGGAAAGCUUCAUAAUAGUUUGGUAUUAAACAGAACUCUUAUUCCAAGAGAAAGCCUAGCGGUUCCUACCUCAGGCCUACAGCCAUCAAAUAAAAGAGUGGAGAUCUUCCUGACCAAGAUGCAUCAAGAGUUGGAAAAAAGUAUAAAUAGAGAACUUAAAGAAGCCACUGCUGAACUUGAAUCUGAGUUCUGCAGAGUUUCUCCCCUCGGGUCUGCUACCAAACCCGGCCAAGAUCUACUCUCAGAAGCAUCGCAAGAAUAUAUAGACAUUUUAAAGAAAAAAUACAUGAUCUGCUGAAUGUAAAAAGAGAAAAAGGAAGAAAAGGCAUGAGGUGGAAGUGGACCGUUUGGGAGGAGGACCACAGAAGAUAAAGGGCAUGCGCCAUGUGUGUCCGAAAUGUCUCAACGCCCUGGCUGUGGUGGCACGUGUCUUCCACUCCAGCACUUGGGAAGCAGAGGCAGGUAGAUCUCUGAAUUCAAGGACAGUCAGGGCUACAUGUCUUACACAGAAAAAUAAAGUCAUAAUGAACCAACUAUCUUAUACAAAUAAUACAAGUUAAUAUAUGUGAUCUAAAAUAUAACAUUGUGGGCUGGAGAGAUGGCUCAGUGGUCAAGAGCUCCUAUGGCUCGUCCAUAAGUCCUGAGUUCAAUUCUCAGCAACCACACAGUGGCUCACAACCAUCCGUAAUGGGAUCUGGGUUACGUGCAGAUAGAGCACUCAUAUACAAAAAAAUAAAUAAAUCUUUAAAAAAGAAAACAAAGAUAUGAACAUUUAUUAAAGUAAAACAUUAUAUUUAUUAAACUGUUUAUAUAUUUUAAUUGUAAUAACUGUAUGACUUGAAAACACAAGUGAAAAAUGUUUUUGUCAUUCAUACUAGAAAUUAAUAUAAUUAAUAUAUUUACCUGGUUUUUGGUAGUCUUACGCAGAUUUUGCAAGUAUUAUUAAACCAGUAUUACAAACUUUUACAUACGAAAACACCGUAAAGCAAGUGUUUAAACAACCAGGAUACUCGGUGGGAAAUAUCUUUGUGGUUAUAUUUUUAUCACUGUGUGUAGGCCAAAAGAUUUAGCCAGUCAUUGGUUCUGUAUGCUGCUGCCUUAGCCACUGUUAAUGUUUUAAAUGUUUCACAGCCAUGGUAUCACCGUGAAACUUAACUUUAAGCACUGAUAGUUCUUGAUCCUGUGGAAAAGGCUUUCCACUCGUCUGUUUAUUCAUUUGCUUGUUCAUCCUUGAUAAUUUUUUAAGUCAUAAAAUUAGAAGUUCAAAUAAUUCUCCUCUCUUCUGAACCCGUUGAGAGAGCCUUGCUGCCAUCCAUCGUCAUCCUUGACUAUUUUAGUGUUUAUUUUAACGGACAACCCUCUAAGUAACUGUAGUGGCCUUUGUGAUAAGAAGGCUAACACUCCUAGAUCCUAAAGUUUAAUCCUCGGAUUCCUUUCCAGUGUGGCUUCUUAUCUACAGCGUCCUUUAAUAAAGACUGGGCCCAUUCAGACUGAUGGGUCCCAGUUACUGACAGUUCAUAGACUCCUUCAAUCUGAAACAUUGUUCAGUCUUUGCUUGACUUUCAUGACCUUAAAACUUCAAGGAACAAUUUGUGUACUAUGUCCUUGAAUUGAAUUUUCUGUUUCGUUAUGAUUAAAUCAUGCAUUCUUGGCAAAAGUAUUACAGAGGUAAUUUUUCUCAUUUAAUCCUAUUAUGUGAUCUAUAAUACUGAUUUUUCUCUGUUAUUAUGAUGUUGAUAUUGAUCACUAAAGCAGUUACUUACUGUUUUUCCUCUAUAUAUUUACUUUUGUUUUGUAAUAAUUGUUUUGUCGAGAGAUAAUUUGUGACUGUAAAUAUCUGUUUCUUAUCAAACCUACAAAAUAUUCAUUUGCUAGUAUUCAUGUAUAAUAAUGAUUCUUCAUUUUGUUUAAUGAGAUAUAAGUUGUUGAUAACAAAUUAUUUUUAUAUUUUAAUAAAUUAAAUUUUGAGAAUUUCAU